CUUAGACUUUGGUCCUAGAGUUGAAUCUUGGUUACUGGUGAAUGAGAAUUCCCGUUAAAAUUUUAAAUUCAGUGAUAUAAAGUUUUAAAAAUAGUUAAAUAUUAGUCAAUUUCAUUAAACACUAUAGCAGUUAUUUACUUUUAAGCCUGUCUCUGGGGCAAUUUUGCAAUGAUUCCCUCCCUUUAUUGAUUCCCUCUUUAUCAGAAUCCUUGAGAGGUCCCUGUCAUCAUUGUCAGUAUCAUCAUCAUCAUCACCAUCAUCAUGGAACUGAUUCCUCUGGGAGAUUCUAGGAAAAUAAAGAGCUGGACGGGGUUAUGUGCAGCAUCCCAGACUGACGAAGACAGUGGAGAAUGCCUCUGAGUUUGGCACUGAUUGCCUGGAGAAUGCUGAAACCCAGGGAAGUGGGCAGCACAGACGUUUAUUCAUUUAAUCCUGCCAACACAGUAGGAGAUAGAAUCUACAUAUCCCUCGCUACUUAAAAGAUCCCUGCCUUCUCUCUGCUCCUCCUGUCCAUGUCUCUCCCUCCACUUUUCCCCUUCUCCCCCCCUCCUCCCAUCUUCUCCGUCCCUCGCUUCCCCAG